rnacentral:rRNA from 1 species
UACGUAGGGUGCAAGCGUUGUCCGGAAUUAUUGGGCGUAAAGCGCGUGUAGGCGGCUUUGCAAGUCGGGUGUGAAAGCCCUCGGCUCAACCGAGGAAGUGCGCCCGAAACUGCAGAGCUUGAGUACCGGAGAGGAUGGCGGAAUUCCCCAAGUAGAGGUGAAAUUCGUUGAUAUGGGGAGGAACACCGGUGGCGAAGGCGGCCAUCUGGACGGAUACUGACGCUGAGACGCGAAAGCGUGGGUAGCAAACAGG